ACGAACGCUGGCGGCGUGCUUAACACAUGCAAGUCGAACGGUGACCCUCGGAGCUUGCUCUGGGGUGAUCAGUGGCGAACGGGUGAGUAACACGUGAGUAACCUGCCCCUGACUCUGGGAUAACUUCGGGAAACCGUAGCUAAUACCGGAUAUGACGCGGAGACGCAUGUCUACCGUGUGGAAAGUUUUUCGGUCUGGGAUGGACUCGCGGCCUAUCAGCUUGUUGGUGAGGUAAUGGCUCACCAAGGCGACGACGGGUAGCCGGCCUGAGAGGGCGAUCGGCCACACUGGGACUGAGACACGGCCCAGACUCCUACGGGAGGCAGCAGUGGGGAAUAUUGCACAAUGGGCGCAAGCCUGAUGCAGCGACGCCGCGUGAGGGAUGACGGCCUUUGGGUUGUAAACCUCUUUCAGCAGGGAAGAAGCGCAAGUGACGGUACCUGCAGAAGAAGCACCGGCUAACUACGU
rnacentral:rRNA from 1 species